UACAGAGGGUGCAAGCGUUGUUCGGAAUUAUUGGGCGUAAAGGGCGCGUAGGCGGUGCGGUAAGUCUCUUGUGAAAUCUCCGGGCUCAACCCGGAGCCUGCAAGGGAAACUGCCGUGCUUGAGGACUGGAGAGGAGACUGGAAUUUACGGUGUAGCGGUGAAAUGCGUAGAUAUCGUAAGGAAGACCAGUGGCGAAGGCGGGUCUCUGGACAGUUCCUGACGCUGAGGCACGAAGGUCAGGGGAGCAAACAGG
rnacentral:rRNA from 1 species